rnacentral:tRNA from 1 species
GGAAGUGUGCCCGAACGCUCAAGGGCCACUUUGAUAGAGUGGACAAUAGGGGUUCGAGUCCCCUCACUUCCU